ACCCACUCUGGAAUUAAGGCGUACAGCUGUGACAUUUGUGGAAAAACUUUCAGCCGGAUAGGGAGCCGAAAUACACACCUACGCAUUCACACCAGACAUGAUGUGUACAGCUGUGAUCAGUGUGGUAAACAGUUUACUACAAACACAGAGUUACGACGUCACAUGUUUACCCACACUGAGGAACGACCUUAUAAAUGUGACCUGUGUGACAAGACUUUUAAAUCUCCACGUUACCUGAGACGACACCAACAGAUCCACACCAGAAAGACUCUACAAGUGCAGUUACUGUGAGAAGCAGAGCGACACAGAUGGAUCAAGUUCUCAACCCUGUCAUCGCUGUGGGAAAGACUUUUGUUGUGACCUUUGUGGAAAAACUUUAAGUCAUUGAAGGACUCUGAAAAUACAUCAACGUAGACACACUGGAGACAAAAUGAACUACUGUAAAGAAUGCGGGAGAGGCUUCACCACUUCAAAGGACUUCAAACAAUAUGAACUCCUUCACAGUGGCGUUAAAAAGCAUGUCUGCGAUCAGUGUGGGUCAUCCUUCAUCAGUGCACGUCAGCUUGAAAAGCAUAAACGAGUCCACACAUGAGAGAAACCAUACAAGUGCAGACACUGUGACAAAACCUUUUCACAAUCAUGUGAUCAUACUAAGCAUGAACGCAGACACAUGAAAGAGAACUUCAUCUGUGAAAGAGUUUGAGUAAUCUCAGUUCAUACUCCACUCAGAAACGAUUCCAUGUUACAAAUAAACUGUUACGUCUUGAUUCCUGCUUUUACGUUAAUCUUGUAAACAGUACAUUUGCAUAACGACUGAAACCGGCCCAAUGAAUGAACAAUGGGCUGUGAGGUCAAUUUCUUCAUCAUUAAUAUGCAAAUUCUUAUGAGCAUUGAUCAACAACCA